CGGGGUAUGGCGCAGCUUGGUAGCGCACUCGCUUUGGGAGCGAGGGGUCGUGGGUUCGAAUCCCGCUACCCCGACCA
rnacentral:tRNA from 7 species